rnacentral:rRNA from 1 species
GACGAACGCUGGCGGCGUGCUUAACACAUGCAAGUCGAACGGAAAGGCCCUGCUUGCAGGGUACUCGAGUGGCGAACGGGUGAGUAACACGUGGGUGAUCUGCCCUGCACUUCGGGAUAAGCUUGGGAAACUGGGUCUAAUACCGGAUAGGACCGCACUUUAGUGUGUGUGGUGGAAAGUUUUUUCGGUGUAGGAUGAGCUCGCGGCCUAUCAGCUUGUUGGUGGGGUAAUGGCCUACCAAGGCGGCGACGGGUAGCCGGCCUGAGAGGGUGUACGGCCACAUUGGGACUGGGAUACGGCCCAGACUCCUACGGGGGGCGGCAGUGGGGAAUAUGGCACAAUGGGCGCAAGCCUGAUGCAGCGACGCCGCGUGGGGGAUGAAGGCCUUCGGGUUGUAAACUCCUUUCGCUAGGGACGAAGCUUUGUUGUGACGGUACCUAGAUAAGAAGCCCCGGCUAACUACGUG